rnacentral:rRNA from 1 species
UACAGAGGGUGCAAGCGUUGCUCGGAAUUAUUGGGCGUAAAGGGCGCGUAGGCGGCCACGCGUGUCUUUCGUGAAAUCCCUCGGCUUAACUGAGGACGUGCGGAAGAAACUGCGAGGCUCGAGUCCGGGAGAGGGGGGUGGAAUUCCCAGUGUAGCGGUGAAAUGCGUAGAGAUGGGGGAGAACACUCGUGGCGAAGGCGGCCAGCUAGACCAGUUCUGACACUGAGGCGCGACAGCGUGGGGAGCAAACAGG